AUCGUGUCACUUUAGAACACUUGGAAGAGACCAGCGAUUCAUACAUUACUGUUUUUUGCGAUGACUUUUUGAAACGUUUUGGUGAAUCGUCUUUCAUCGGAGGGAUAUAAAUCUCUGAGAUUUCAUUAAAAUAUCUCAGUUUUUCUUUCAUGUGUCUUUUGGAACCCCGUUAUUUUGUGACUCCAGCUACAUUCAAUUUGACCAAUCAGACGCGAUCAGAUGAAGAUGCUGCACGCAGAAGUUACUGAUCCUGUGAUAAAGCAGCCUUCAAAUAGUACAGUGUCUGAAUUACAAGCCCUCAGUUGCGGAAAAUGUAAGUUGUGCUCAAAGAAGUGACCCUCCACUUGAAGAUGAAGAUGUGAUAUUUAAACUCUUUUGUUUCUUUGUUUGGUUCAGGCAUUUGCAUUUUUACAUUUGUUAAAAAAAAUGCACUUCACUUCUGUUGUUUGUUUUUCAGUGACUUUUUCAGAAAAUUGCAUUGUAAUUCUUAUUCACUGAUGUAAAAUUCUGU